rnacentral:rRNA from 1 species
AUUGAACGCUGGCGGCAUGCCUUACACAUGCAAGUCGAACGGCAGCGGGGGAGAAGCUUGCUUUUCCUGCCGGCGAGUGGCGAACGGGUGAGUAAUACAUCGGAAAGUGCCCUGUAGUGGGGGAUAACUAGUCGAAAGAUUAGCUAAUACCGCAUACGACCUGAGGGUGAAAGUGGGGGACCGCAAGGCCUCAUGCUAUAGGAGCGGCCGAUGUCUGAUUAGCUAGUUGGUGGGGUAAAGGCCUACCAAGGCGACGAUCAGUAGCUGGUCUGAGAGGACGAUCAGCCACACUGGGACUGAGACACGGCCCAGACUCCUACGGGAGGCAGCAGUGGGGAAUUUUGGACAAUGGGCGAAAGCCUGAUCCAGCAAUGCCGCGUGUGUGAAGAAGGCCUUCGGGUUGUAAAGCACUUUUGUCCGGAAAGAAAUGGCUCUGGUUAAUACCUGGGGUCGAUGACGGUACCGGAAGAAUAAGGACCGGCUAACUACGUGCCAGCCGCCGCGGUAACAC